rnacentral:rRNA from 1 species
CCUACGGGGCGCAGCAGUGGGGAAUAUUGGACAAUGGGGGGAACCCUGAUCCAGCGACGCCGCGUGAGUGAAGAAGUAUUUCGGUAUGUAAAGCUCUAUCGGCAGGGAAGAAAGAAAUGACGGUACCUGACUAAGAAGCCCCGGCUAACUACGUGCCAGCAGCCGCGGUAAUACGUAGGGGGCAAGCGUUAUCCGGAUUUACUGGGUGUAAAGGGAGCGUAGACGGCGAUGCAAGUCUGAAGUGAAAGGCGGGGGCUCAACCCCCGGACUGCUUUGGAAACUGUAUGGCUGGAGUGCAGGAGAGGUAAGUGGAAUUCCUAGUGUAGCGGUGAAAUGCGUAGAUAUUAGGAGGAACACCAGUGGCGAAGGCGGCUUACUGGACUGUAACUGACGUUGAGGCUCGAAAGCGUGGGGAGCAAACAGGAUUAGAUACCCUUGUAGUC